CAGGAGUCAGUCCCAGUCAGGACACAGCAUGGACAUGAGGGCUCCUGCUCAGCUCCUGGGGCUCCUGCUGCUCUGGCUCCCAGGUGCCAGAUGUGACAUCCAGAUGAUCCAGUCUCCAUCCUCCCUGUCUGCAUCUGUAGGAGACAGAGUCACCAUUACUUGCCGGGCAAGUCAGGGUAUUAGCAGCUGUUUAGCCUGGUAUCAGCAGAAACCAGGGAAAGCCCCUAAGCUCCUGAUCUAUAGGGCAUCAAAUUUGGAAACAGGGGUCCCAUCAAGGUUCAGUGGAAGUGGAUCAGGGACAGAUUUUACUCUCACCAUCAGCGGUCUGCAGCCUGAAGAUAUUGCAACAUAUUACUGUCAACAGUAUGAUAAUCUCCCUCCCACAGUGUUACAAGCCCUAACAUAAACCACCAGGGGAGCAGAUGUGUGAGGCUGAGCUGUCCCAGAUGCUCCUUCUGGUGCCUCCAUCUGCUGAGAGUGUUUCUCAAAUUGCAGUCACAAUUUGAGAAGGUCACUGGAGAGUUUCUGUAAAAGGGCCAUGAAGGCCCACUUCAUCUUUUCUGUCUUUCCUGGUCCUCAUCCCCAGUAGCAUUGACAUGGCAAUGCCUGUCUUGAUUUCAUUGAGAAGAGAUGAUUACACCUGAGGAGUCUCAGUUUUGGCAUUGGUCGGAAUUCAUACAGCAAAAGUGAGCCACUCUAGGUAUUCCAAGUAGGAUUUAAAAAAAAAACA